rnacentral:rRNA from 1 species
UGAAGUCGGAAUUGCUAGUAAUGGCAGGUCAGCAUACUGCCGUGAAUACGUUCCCGGGCCUUGUACACACCGCCCGUCACACCAUGAGAGUUGGGAAUACCCGAAGCCUGUGAGCCAACAAACGAGGCAGCAGUCGAAGGUAGAAUCAAUGAUUGGGGUGAAGUCGUAACAAGGUAUC